GACGGAAGGUGCAAGCGUUGCUCGGAAUUACUGGGCGUAAAGGGUGCGUAGGCGGCCGUGCAAGUCUGGCGUGAAAGCCCCGGGCUCAGCCCGGGAAGUGCGCUCGAAACUGCGCGGCUCGAGUGCCGGAGGGGAGAGUGGAAUUCCUGGUGUAGCGGUGAAAUGCGUAGAUAUCAGGAGGAAUACCGGUGGCGAAAGCGACUCUCUGGACGGCAACUGACGCUGAGGCACGAAAGCGUGGGGAGCAAACAGG
rnacentral:rRNA from 1 species